rnacentral:rRNA from 1 species
AUGCAGAUCCGGCUCUCGCCGAGCAUGAGGAGCAUCACCAUCUCCAGUAGCAAUGGGCUGCUAGACUUGAUGAAGCUCAAGACCGCCGCGCGCCACUUCUCGUACCGGACCGUCUUCCACACCGUCCUCAUCCUCGCCUUUCUCCUUCCCUUCGUCUUUAUUCUCACCGCCGUCAUGACCCUUGAGGGCUUCAACAAGUGCUCCUCCCUAGAUUGUCUGGGCAGACGGUUAGGUCCACGUCUUCUCGGUAGGGGUGAAGAUGGCUCCAUGAGGCUUGUAAGAGAUCUGUAUAGGAUGCUUGAUGAAAUAAACUCGGAGGAAGUUCCUGUUGAUCUAAAAGUGGCAGAAUCUUUUGAUGAUUUCAUCUGGGAUACAAAGAAUAACGAUUAUGAUUUGAAGUCAUUUGCUUUGAGGCUGAAGGCCACGAUGGAGACCAUGGAUAAGGAACUGAGAUCAUCCAGGUUGUCAGAGCAGCUAAACAAACAUUAUGCAGCAAUCGCAAUUCCUAAAGGCCUUUACUGCCUUUCAUUGCGUCUAACUGACGUAUACUCCUCAAAUGCCCUUGCGAGGAAACAGCUGCCACCCCCUGAGUUGGUCCCGCGUCUUUCCGACAACUCCUAUUUCCACUUUGUUUUAGCGUCAGACAACAUCCUUGCAGCUUCGGUUGUGGUCAGAUCAACAGUUAGAUCAGCAUUGAAGCCUGAGAGGAUAGUCUUUCAUGUCAUUACUGACAAGAAGACCUAUCCUGCCAUGCAUUCAUGGUUUGCAUUGAAUCCUCUUUAUCCUGCCAUUAUUGAGGUGAAGGGUGUCCACCAAUUUGAAUGGUUGACGAAAGAAAAUGGUCCAGUUCUUGAGGCUAUAGAAAUUCAGCACAUUGCCAGAAGUCGUUACCAUGGAAAUCACCUUGCAAGAACCACUGCAGGUGACAGCCCGAGAGUUUUUGCAGCCAAGCUGCAGGCAGGAAGUCCAACAUAUACAUCUGUGCUCAAUCAUAUUCGUAUAUACUUGCCUGAGUUAUUCCCAAGCCUCAGCAAGGUUGUAUUUCUUGAUGAUGAUGUUGUUGUCCAACGUGACCUGUCAUCACUUUGGGAUAUUGAUCUAGCUGGGAAGGUAAAUGGAGCUGUUGAGACUUGCAGGGGUGGAGAUAGUUGGGUGAUGUCUAAGAGGUUCAGGAAUUAUUUUAACUUCUCUCAUCCGCUCAUUGCCACCAACUUUGAUCCAUUGGAGUGUGCGUGGGCGUAUGGCAUGAACAUUUUUGACCUUGCUGCAUGGAGGAAGACAACAAUUAAAGAUAAAUACCACCAUUGGGUCAAGGAGAAUCUGAAGUCAAACUUCACGCUUUGGAGGCUUGGAACUUUGCCACCUGGCCUUAUAGCAUUUAAAGGCCAUGUUCAUCCGAUCGAUCCAUCUUGGCACCUUUUAGGUUUGGGGUAUCAGGAGAAGACGGAUAUCUCUAGUGUUCGGAAAGCAGCAGUUAUACAUUACAAUGGACAAAGUAAGCCAUGGCUGGACAUUGGUUUUAAACAUCUCCAACCAUUUUGGACGAAACAUGUGAACUACUCGAAUGAAUUUGUAAGGAACUGUCAUAUAAUGGAGCCUCAGUUGUAG